rnacentral:lncRNA from 1 species
UGCCUGCCCACCUCCCUUCCCUCCCUGAUGAGUCCAUCCCUGUGACCUUCCCCAGCUUGACUCUGCUGGCCACGUCCAGCUGAUUAUGCAUAAUCUCUGGAGAAGACUGAUGGAAACCUUCAUCUAGAAUUCUGUAACAUCAGUAAAACCAUCCAGGAACAAUGGAGAAGAUUGAUACUUCCUUCAAGAAAACAUUAUGAACCCAGUCCAGUCUUUUUGCACUGAAUUAUGUAUGGAGUCACCACAAUUGCAAGUAUCAGUCAAUGCCUACACAGAAAUGCAAGGCUAGACAAGUAAUGGCUUUAGACUCCCUCGCAGUGAAUGUGGCGAGAGACCAGGGAAGCAGACACGCUACUAACA